GACAGAGGUCUCAAGCGUUGUUCGGAUUCAUUGGGCGUAAAGGGUGCGUAGGCGGCGCGGUAAGUCGGGUGUGAAAUCUCGGAGCUUAACUCCGAAACUGCAUUCGAUACUGCCGUGCUUGAGGACUGGAGAGGAGACUGGAAUUUACGGUGUAGCGGUGAAAUGCGUAGAGAUCCGGAGGAACACCAGCGGCGAAGGCGGCAUCCUGGACUGGUACUGACGCUCAGGAGCGAAAGCGUGGGGAGCGAUCCGG
rnacentral:rRNA from 1 species